UCCAACUCCAUAUAAAAUAUCUUUUUACACCCACCGCUCAAAAAUACGAAAUUCCAACAAACCAAAAAAUCACAUCCCAACCCAACAAUUCCCAAACUCAACAAAAAGCUUAAGAGCUUCAAUCAUUCGAAUCACAAAUAAACAAAACAAAAGUACAAAAGAUCCCUACUCGGAGAAAUCGCGAGAGAAAGGACCGGCCGUCCAUUCCCCCAAGGAAUGGCAGACUUCAACCCCAAAGCCACCGACAACGGCGGCGCUUCCACCCGCACAGCCCCAACCACGGCCACAACUCCCGUCCGCACAACCAGCAAAACCAAAAACUGCCCUGCUCUGCUUCUGGGUCGCUUCGAAAUCGGCAAACUCCUCGGCCAUGGCACCUUCGCCAAAGUAUACCACGCCAAGAACAUCAAAACCAACGAGAGCGUCGCCAUCAAAGUCAUCGACAAGGAGAAGAUUCUGAAAGGUGGUUUGAUCGCCCAUAUAAAGCGCGAGAUCUCGAUCCUGCGCCGCGUCCGCCACCCGAACAUCGUCCAGCUCUUCGAGGUCAUGGCCACGAAAGCGAAGAUCUACUUCGUCAUGGAGUACGUCCGCGGCGGCGAGCUCUUUAACAAGGUCGCCAAGGGCCGGCUGAAGGAGGAAGUUGCGAGAAAAUAUUUCCAGCAGCUAAUCUCUGCCGUCGGAUUCUGCCACGCCCGCGGCGUCUACCACCGCGAUUUGAAGCCGGAGAACCUAUUGCUCGACGAGAACGGAGAUCUCAAGGUUUCGGAUUUUGGGUUGAGUGCGGUUUCCGAUGAAAUUCGACAAGAUGGUCUCUUUCACACGUUUUGCGGCACGCCGGCUUAUGUGGCGCCGGAGGUUUUGGGCCGGAAAGGGUACGACGCCGCGAAGGUGGAUAUUUGGUCUUGUGGUGUUGUUUUGUUCGUGCUCAUGGCUGGAUAUUUACCCUUCCAUGACCAAAAUGUUAUGGCGAUGUACAAGAAAAUAUACAAAGGCGAAUUUCGAUGCCCCAGAUGGUUCAGUGCCGAGCUUGUUCGGCUUUUAACCCGCCUUCUCGACUCAAAUCCGGGUUCGAGGAUUACAAUCCCGGAGGUGAUGGAGAAUCGCUGGUUUAAAAAGGGUUUUAAGCACAUCAAGUUCUACAUUGAUCACGAUGAUCGGCUUUGCAAUGUUCUUGAUGAUGAUGAGGAGGACAGGUUUAGUGAUGUGAGCUCUGUCUCGGAUUGUAUGUCGGAAUCUGAGGCGGAGUUUGAGACCAGAAGAAAGAUUACAUCUUUACCCAGACCGGCCAGCUUGAAUGCGUUUGAUAUAAUCUCGUUUUCUCCGGGGUUUGAUUUGUCGGGGUUGUUUGAGGAGCGGGGAGAGGAGGCCAGGUUUGUGUCGGGCGCCCCUGUUUCGACCAUCAUAUCGAAAUUGGAGGAGAUUGCGAAAGUUGUGAGCUUUUCCGUGAGGAAGAAGGAUUGCAGAGUGAGCUUGGAGGGGUCUAGGGAAGGUGUGAAGGGGCCAUUGACAAUUGCAGCGGAGGUAUUCGAACUUACGUCUUCGUUGGUGGUGUUGGAGGUUAAGAAGAAAGCAGGGGACAAAGCUGAGUACGAGCAGUUUUGUAAUACAGAAUUAAGACCCGGGUUGCAGAACUUGAUGGUUGAGGAGAGUGCCGCUGCUGCUGCUGCCGUUGCUUCCCCUCCGCAUCUGCCUUCGGAUACCGAGUAGGGAAGAAGAACGGGAAAUCGGGAAAAAGGCAGAUGAAGUUCAUGAUCAAUGUAAUGGAUUUUAUACUUGGAGGAAGAUGAGGAGGGUCCGGCUGAUUUUUUGGGUUUUACCAAAACUCGUGGAGAGUGACAAGAUGACUAGCCCAAAUCUUGUGUUGUAUGGUGGCAGAGCUCUCAACCAAAAGCCUUAUUGGUCAUUGAACACCAACCCACCACGACUCUAGUUUUUAUACUCACCUUUUCAUCACAACACAAAGAAAAGAAUGUCAGAACGAUGAAAGGGUACAUUGGUCUGGUACAUUUGGUUGUUUACAGAAGUGUGUGCUCCGUUCUGCUUGGAGUUUAAAUCCCCUUGAUAGUUUGAAUUAGGUUAGGAACAAGUUUACCAUUUUAUAAACCAAGUUCUUCUAUACUUGUUUCAGUAGUUAUUUUUACUAGGUUGAAGGAAGUUUCAGAUGUUAUAUAUAUAAAUAAUGAGUUCGAUACCUAGGUGUUGUUUCUUUUUUGGUUGGAGGAGAUUUCAGAAUACUUAUAUAUUGUACAAUUUUAAUCAGAACUUGUAUGGUUCCAUGCCGUGUGUCUUUUUUUAAUUGGAGGAGGUUUCCUAAUGAUUAUUAUAAA